CAAUAUGAAGGUCAGGCUGAAGACCUUACCCGAUUAGCUGAGAGGUGGUGCAUGGCCGUCGUAGUUCGUACUGUGAAGCAUCCUGUUAAGUCAGGCAACGAGCGAGACCCACGUCCACAGUUGCCAGCAUACCCUCCGGGGUGAUGGGUACACUGUGGAGACCGCCGCUGCUAAAGCGGAGGAAGGAGUGGGCAACGGUAGGUCAGUAUGCCCCGAAUCUCCCGGGCUACACGCGGGCUACAAUGGUUGGUACAAUGGGCAUCUACCCCGAAAGGGGAAGGAAAUCUCUUAAAGCCAAUCGUAGUUCGGAUUGAGGGCUGCAACUCGCCCUCAUGAAGCUGGAAUCCGUAGUAAUCGCGUUUCAACAGAACGCGGUGAAUACGUCCCUGCUCCUU
rnacentral:rRNA from 1 species